UACUGGUUGGCUUGGGAGUUGACCUGUUUCUCUCCUCAUGGUAGACUCAGCCAAUUGUCCUAUUUGUAUUUCUAGCCUAGCGAUAGAUUGUUGUUGGGUCAUGAUCAAUUAUUGUAGUUGGUUUAAUCUAUCAUCAGCUAGAUUAGUCUGUUGAGAAGGUGGGUAUGGUGGCUGAUUUUGAUAUGGUGGCUGGAUAGAUUGACUGGGCUGACCUCUAUUGUAGGCAUAAUUUUGAUAUGGAGGCCUACUCUGAAAAUUUUGCACAGAAGGAAUUUGGGUCUGAGUCUGAGUCUGUUGAGGUCUCUAAAAAAAUUCAGGGUGGUUUCUCCAGCCUGAAUUGUAUGUCUUAGAGAAUGGAUCAUUGAUAGGUUUGGAGUAACCUUGAGCAGCUUGAACUUGUUCUUGAAUGAAAGGUGGAAACUGUGCAGCCAUGGGACAUUCGCUCACAUGAUGGGCCGGGCUAGCAUAGAUAGAACAAAUCUCCUGAUAAUUAGGUGGUGG
rnacentral:lncRNA from 1 species